AGAGCGAACGCUGGCGGCAGGCCUAACACAUGCAAGUCGAGCGCCCGUAGCAAUACGGGAGCGGCAGACGGGAUAGUAACACGUGGGAACGCGCCCUUCGGUUCGGAAUAACUCAGGGAAACUUGAGCUAAUACCGGAUACGCCCUUACGGGGAAAGAUUUAUUGCCGAAGGAACGGCCCGCGUCCGAUUAGCUAGUUGGUGAGGUAAUGGCUCACCAAGGCGACGAUCGGUAGCUGGUCUGAGAGGAUGACCAGCAUCACUGGGACUGAGACACGGCCCAGACUCCUACGGGAGGCAGCAGUGGGGAAUAUUGGACAAUGGGCGCAAGCCUGAUCCAGCCAUGCCGCGUGGAUGAUGAAGGCCUUAGGGUUGUAAAGUCCUUUUAACGGGGAAGAUAAUGACGGUACUCGUAGAAUAAGCCCGGCUAACUUCGCGCCAGCAGCCGC
rnacentral:rRNA from 1 species